UCAUACUUUGUUUUCUACCCUCCGACCUUCCCUCCUUCCUUCCCUCCCCUUAUCUCUCAAUCAGCUACCUUGAUCAUAAUGUCUAAUCAUCAACACAAGAGGCCAUGGACCCUAAGUGCUUGGUAACUGGUCACUUCUUACUGAAGGCGUGUUUAUCAUGAGAGAGAGAGAGAGAGAGAGAGAGAGAGAGAGAGAGAGAGAGAGAGAGAGAGUUAAGUACCUUUCUGUUCUGUUAAAGUUAAAAAAUAUAAAUAAAUAAAUAGAUAAAUAAAUAAAUAAAUAAGCUACUUCUUGGCUAGCUCUUCCAAUGUGUAUUCAUCAAAUCUUGUCAUGUCGCCCUCUCCCUCCACUCUCCUCCUCCUCCUCCUACCUCUACCCUCCAUCUCCCCCUCCCCUUCCUCCUACUCCUCCUGCUCCCCAAUUCAGAUGACUCGACCGCCUUCGAUUCCAGGUUCGAGUGAAUUCGGAGCUCCACUUGACCUGUAUCCCCACCGCGUGUGCCAGUACCACUUCUUGAACUUCGGUGAUAAGAGUGACGGCGUCUAGCGAAGGGCCAGUGUACCGAGAUCACGCUGCUACGCCUUGACCUGCCCACACCUCUCUCGGUUAUCACGCCACCACUCAAGGUGGGCGAGAGCAGGUGGCUGAGAUUACCCUGGCGAGAGGCGUGAGCUGUGACACCGCCUACCCGGCCCUCAGGAACCCUUACGUAGAGGAACAAUGGGAGGACAAGGGGAGGAGGGCCGCGCGGUCUGCUGUGCCUCCCCAAAGCCACCUCAAACCUCCUGAGGAAGACGCUGACGGCUCUGAAGUGGAUGCCCCACAGUGCUGCACAAAGCAAGCGUUUUCAGUGUCUCUUGAAGGGUCCGAACCUUAAAAAAAGGAACAGUAUUUUCAAGGAUGGGGCAAGAGGCGACAGCGGGAAGAGCAAGUUCGAAGAAAGGAGAAAUGGAAGAAGACAAGGAUAGGAAGAAACAGUUCCUUGCCUUCCUUCUCUAUCUCCUACGCCCUCUGUCCCACGCCUUUCUUCCUCCCUCGCUUCCUUCCUUCUCUUCCAUCUGUUCCAGGCCACCUUCCUUUCCUUCCUCCCCUUCCUCCCUCGUCCAUUGCCAUUAUGCCUCUUUUCCUUCCUUCCCUCCUCCCUCAGUACUUCCUCUUCUCAGUCCCAGACCCAUGCCUUUUACCGUUGUUUCCUUCCCUCUCCUCCAUCUGUUGCAAGCCUCCUUCCUUCCUUCCUCCCUCAGUACCUGCUCUCCUCAGUCCUUCACGUCUCAGAAACUCGCCACAAACGUAACAUUGUUAGCUGGGAAGGUAAAGGCGAUAUUCGUACUUACAUUCCCGCUGCCUUUGUGAACUUGGAGUGUCUUUGUAGUCAAAAAAUGAAUCCCAGUUUUCUUUGAACUGCUGACAGCAAAUUAAUCUCUUGCUUUGAAGGCCACAAGUUGCGACGGAAACUUGACCUCGCGACAGCCUUUGAGGGCGAGAACGAGGACGAGAGCGAGGACGAGGGCGAGAGAGAGUCUUGCACGUCAACCUGCCAUGUCAAGGGAAGUUUUUUUUUCUCUCACAUGCUUUUUUUUAAUUUUGUGGUGGUGUUCUUUCUGUCUUCAUUUGUCGAGAACUUUGUUAGUAAGUUAUGGAAGCCUGCCCUCGACUUAAACUCCUUCCACCAUCUUCCUCCUUACCUUUUUUUUUCUUUGUCUACGUCUUUCGUUUUCAUCACUGGUGUAAACUUGCCUUCUUCAUCCAUCCAUUAUCUAAUUCCUUCCAUAAUAUAUCUUCCUUUCCUCCUUUCUUCCCCUCCUGCACUUCCUUCUCACUCCCCUAACUAUGACAUAUCCUCUCUCUCUCUCUCUCUCUCUCUCUCUCUCUCUCUCUCUCUCUCUCUCUCUCUCUCUGUGUGAUUUAUCUAUUGACAAAAGAGGUGCAAGAAGGGAGAGAGAGGACGGGUAGGCUGGAGGAGGUUGGAAGAGACAGCCGAGGUGGGACAGGUAAGAAGAGGGACGGAAAUCUCUUGUUACCUGUCCCUAAUUAAUAUUCCUCGUACCUGCUAAUUGGGUGGGUAGUGAGAGGCAGUUUGUGAUCGCCCUGUAGAGAGAGAGAGAGAGAGAGAGAGAGAGAGAGAGAGAGAGAGAGAGAGAGAAUUAUGGACCUAGCGACGACUGCCAAAACAAACUAUCAGUCGACACAAUCUGAAUUAUGACCUGUAAUUCAUUCCCAUCACAACAAAUCAUCACUUCAUCACUACCAUGCAUCACCUCAGGAGCGGCGCCCCCCGCCAUCACUACUCGUCGCUCACACUUCCGAGUCACAUACACACACAUAAUACACUUGACGCACUCAUAUUUUCCUAAUCUAACAAAUUGGAAGAUCCGGGUAGUCAUUCAAAGGUGACUUAUUAUGAAGUAUUAAGUUGCUGUGUUUGAACCGUCUUCUUGUUUCCAUGGGAGUGUGUGUGGUGUGAGGGAAAGUUUAUGGCAACAGUAGGAUAGAAACACAAAAUGAACUUGGUUAUUCAUUUGAUGUGUACCAUUAGGUUAUUCAUUUGAUGUAUACCAUUAAUAAAGUAACUUAUUGUGAAAACAUGA